AUCCAGAUGAAUAUUUUAUAAAAGCUAAACCUGUGGUAGAACUCUCUAUAUAAAUAUAUAUAUAUACAUACACUCAUACAUAUACAAAUACUAACCCACAGACAAAAUAUUUUCUGAACAGUUGAAUAGCAACAAGUCAACAGAUAGAAAAAAAUGGAGUCAAUCUGUUUUCUGCUCCCCCAGGGUCGGGUUUAGAUGUCAUGGUCUUUUAACAUUCAGAGAAAAUUGGCGUAAACCUUGUGUCUGGCAAGAGGAAUCCAUGGAGAAAGGGAAGUGGGGCAGAAGCCCUCGAACACCAAGGUACAGUCGGACAGAUUGAGUGAGGUUGCAAAUUAAACUGGAGCAACUGAGGCCGAGUAGUGAAGAACAGUAACUGUAAACUGCAAUCUUCAGAUCUGACGGUUUCCUUCUUCUCGUUGCCGUGGCAACUCGGCAGGACAGCUUCGAAUGGCAGGAAUUCUUACAGACCUAAAGGACGGGAGAUGGGGCUGGGGCUUGUCCAGAUGGGCUGAGCAGCAAAGCAGGCACCUGGAUGGCCCUCACCUGCCUGGCCUUUCCCUGCAGCACCACAUCAGCUUUGGAAAACAAAGGUUAAGUAAAGCAAAUUAUGCAAGUGUAAGAAAUCUAUGGAGGGACUGAUAGAUGGGGCUCACUGAAGCGAGAAGUUUCACUGAGAUAUCCAAACUAGCUGAAAUCUGGAAUUGCUUGGUAUGUAGGUUUUUAGCAUGCUGCUUAAAGAAAACAUCUGGCCACAGAAUCAGGAUCCUGACUUACAUGUAGGAGAUUUAUGGCCAUGACUGCCAAAGUGUGGAUAUAUUUGGAUUAGGGAUUCCAGCUAGGACCAAAUUCUCAUAAACAACCUGAUCUCCUGGGUUGGUGCAAAGCAAGAAUUUGGGACUCUGAUCUCACAGACCACCUGAAAAAUAGCAUUUCCAGAUCUCAACGGAGCUUAGUGUCAUUAAAGGGCAUUUGUUUAAACCUGGCUCAAAAGAACUAUUGGAUUGGCAAAGCUACUCUGAAUCUUUAGGAGAUCCCUGGAGGUCUUCCUGGUAAGGACAGGCACUUGUAGAUGAUAAAUGAACAGCAGCUGAGGCACUGAAUUUCUGUACAAUCCGUAGAAACUUCACCAGAGGAAUCUGUCAGCACAAAAUUUAUAAGUAUCACACAAAUUCAAGCAGCCAGUGACUGCUUCACCAACAGCUUGUAAAUAAAGGGCAGUGUUUGGUGAUUUAUGUGCAGACCUGAAGAAAAGCUUGUAUAUUUUACAUCAUAUUGACAGAUAUAAUGAAUGUUACUCCCUUCUCAUACACCUUGCCUUUCCUGAGUAAAUGAUGUAUAAAAACUAGUUAGUUCAACCUUAAUUAUGAAUCUGUUCUUUCCUGUGCCAGUUCUUUGUGUUGAAGACCAUUUUCUCUCUCUCUCACAAUAUAAGCACUUUUUGAUCCUCCCUGUUACCCCACCUGCCUCUUCAAGCACCACCCCAUCCCUUACCCUUUUACCUCAAAGCUCUGCAGUCUCUGGCCUGACUUUCUUUCUAUUGAAAUUGCUUCUCUACUUCACCUUCCUGACCUAUCAUCCCCCUUCCACCCAUUUAAUCACAUGCCUGGAAAGCUGAAGUUCCCUUGGCUCCAGUGAUUAUCUCCUCCUGUCAUUUUACUAUGAUUUCUCUAAUCGUUUUUCCAUCGUGUCCUUCUGUCUCAUCUCUCCCUUCCAUUUUUUUUGUGAAACCCUUUUUCCCCCCACUUUAACUGCUUCCCUUUCUCUGUGACACCAUUCCUAACCCCUCAGCAACCACAUCAGUACUGACAAUCCAGAGAUCUUACUCUCUUUUCCUGCUUUUCCAUUUAGUCCAAAGUGUCAGCCUCUAGCCCUGAUACCUUUUGCAUGUUUAGCUGACAACUCUACAGAGCUAAAACUCAGCUCUUAAAUCUUUCCCCUAAAGCACUCCCUUCUAGUUCUUCCUUUGAUUGCUCAGGACAACAUUAUCAUCCUGCCUCUUGUUCAAGCCUAGAAACAGAAGCAAACGGGAGGAGGUUUUUGUCAUGGAAUCUCCUCUCCAGGUCUGUAUAUUUAGCUUAUGUCAAUCUAGAGGAUUCUUUUUCACACAUUGUCCCAAAGAGCUUUCUCUAGCCAUUCAAACAGCUAAAUCUCCUACCCAGGCUCUCCUCAGUGAGCAGGUUUGCAGCAUCUUUUCUGAGCCCUUGACAAAUUGAAGCUCCUGUGUGCUCAUACCCUGUCAGUUUUUGCUGUACAGAGCAUUUUCCUCAUCUGCCACUUUGACAAAACCUCUGCAGCUGCGACUCCUUCACGGCCUCUUCCCUACUGCACACGUGUCCCUGGAUUAUCUCUACAUGACCUGUUUUUCCUCCCAUUCAUAGCCCACGAUGGCAGCUUUCACUGACACGUUUUCAAAGAAACCUGUGAUAUGGGAGGAGCUCCCUGCAAGCCUCCAUAAAAUGCUGUCUCCUAACAGCUGCUUUUGCUGACACCUCUGCAAAACUCUUGGCCUUGGCAAAGGGGGCCAAGAGUGCUGUGAAUUCAGCUCAGCCCUUUCACCAGCCUCGGCUGAAGUUGUGUUAAAAGAAUUACCUUGUUCCAAACACUGCCUGGAAGAACAGUAGGUCUCUGCUCGUUAAUGAUGAUUGACCCUUUUGUAAAGGGGGAUUGCUGAAGGAGUGGGGUUUGCCUCUAAAAAUCAGAUUCAACCUUCAAAAUUAUGGGCUGUAAAACCUCAGUAGAUAACCAGCUUUGAUAAGUAAGAUUACACAAGUUCAAAUCUAUCUUGGCUCUUUCUAUUGCACAUAAAGGUGAUCAAAAAUUGCUUCUGUCCUAUAGAGAAGUUAGUUUAAAUUUUAGUUUCUUUGGUUUUAAUAAGAGAGUGUCAGUUACUGAUUUUUUUCCUACAAAUAGUCUGAUAUAGUUAUGUAAAUUGUUAUUGGCCAAACAUUCUGGCCAGUAACUCCCUUAACACAAAAUCUGCAGAAAUCAAGAACAACCACAGAUUGUACAGAAAAAAUCAAUGUUGAAUCUGCUGAAACCAACACAACUGCUCUGUUAUAAAAUCUGAUAAGCCUCUGGUCCAUAUUUAAAAUCUCUCUUCUCCCAGAUGGAUUUCCAAUGUCUGUUAUUUUCUCUGCAGGAAUUGUAGUUUUCUUGUUUGCUUUUCUUUUUUUUUAUUCUCCCUAUAAAGAAGGACUAAAUGAAAUUUCUAGAAAAGCACACACCCAACCAAACUAUUAGCAUCUACUUCUUAUUUGAGCUCUGUUUCUAAACAGCUAUCCUAAAGAAUCCUAGUGUUUAUCCACUACUUCAAUGGGGUUGUAUUUGUUUUUAGUUUUUUAACCUAUUCUUAUGUAUUUUAUAAUACAUGUGAUUUAAAGUUUGCAGAUGGCAACAACACAUAGAAGAUAUUAGUACUUAAAGAACACUGUGAGCAUAAAAUGUGCAAAUAAUGUGUGCAAGAGACACAUUUGCUGAUCAGGGUGAACAAUUUCUUUUAAGAAUUUAAUGCCCUAGUAAGCCUGUGCCUGGCAGAUCUGCAGAGUAAUGAUAAUUACACCUAGUAAUUAUUUUAUUUUCUUUUUAUUAGCUCUGUCUCCAUAACUGGUCUCAGCACUCAAGAAUUAUUACAACACCAUGUGUUGUUUCAGAUGUGAUUUCUGUGCCUACAACAGGUAAUUUUUUUGCCCGAAGCUGGAGACCUGCAAGCCACGAAGGUGGGGCUGCAUCUUUGCUCUCACCCGGCCACCCCUCAACUUUCCCUGAAGGGGUCUGGGGGAUGCACAAGUACCACUAAACCAGUACAUCUAUAUGGGACUUAUUUCUCCAGAAAUCUCUCCCACUGAAGUCUUUAAUGUGAUCCCCACUAAUUUUAUCUCACAGUUCUCUGCUCUACCUCUUCAACACCUGACAUACAUUUAGCCACAUUCCUUUUAAGAUAACAGUCAAACAGCAAGAUAAGAGUGAGAAAAACAGGGUUAUUGCUCUGUGUUUGCUGUCAGAAUUAUUACUGGCCUGGUUAAUGGUCUCAGAUAAGAAAGCAGAGCACAUUACAAACAGCUGGUGUCUGUUGGCACUCGUACUCUGGCAUUGGAAGAUGAUGUUUGCUUUUGCUGGUCAAGAAAACUGACAAAUGUGGUACAUGUUUCUCUGGGUCUGAUGUACUAAUAGUGUUACUAAUAGUUAAUUAAUAUUAAUAAUAAUGCUAUAGGAAUAGAGGGCUAGGUAGAUGGUUUAGGGAAGGGAGACUCGUAAUUUAGAAACUUAAAUGGAAUAAAGCCCUGUUUUUAUUUCCACUGAAGUCUGUUGAUGUUGACUGUGCUUGGAAAGUCAAAAGAGUUGUUGAUGUUGGUCACAAACUGCACAGGACAGACCUGAAUUGUCAUUGGUUUGGAAAAGGUGCAAGCCAAGUGUUUAUAAUACUGAUUUUUUUAAGGACUACAGCUACCUGCCUGUUUCACAGUGGGCUAACUCAAGGUUUACUCCUUAUGUUGAUCCCCAUGAGAGAAGAAAAUGGAGAAAAAAACCACACAGAGCACUUUAAGACAAGAUUUCGCAAUGCCCCAUCCCAGGAAAAAUGCAACUGGUAGCCUGUAACCUCAUUCACUGUGGUUCAGGUUGCCAAGAGCUCAUAUUCCAGCAGAACCCUUCCCAUCAGGCAACAAGCAACUCCUGAUCUCAGAAAAUGCUCUGGAAUGUCUCAGGGACUCCAAGCCUCCCUGCUGCAGCCUUAGCUUUCUCUGAACAUAUUUCUAUAUUAGUGAUUCAAUUCCCUACUUAUUUUAAAGAAACAGGUCUAAAUUGAGUAAUUAAAAGCCUCUGAAAGAUGUGUUUCUCCUGAGACCAAACUCACCCCCCAUUACACAGACUGUGCUUCUACACUGCAGUUAAAACCUCAUAAAAAUUAAAGGCCUUUAAGUUUCACGCUGACCCUCUGUACAGGAAUGAGCUUUAUCCACAAUGCAUUCAUCCUUUAAUUCCCAUUAAAAUAUGAGAGUUAAUGCAGCUAGAGUUUGGAGUUCAGCUCAUGCAUGCUCCAUUUCUUUCAAUUACCCUUUCAUCAGAAAUAUUAUAUUAAUUUUGCAUAAUUAGAAGCCUGCAUUACAUCAUGGACUUCAUCGAAACCCCAGUAACGCUGAAGAGGUAAUGCAAAAAUGAGAGAAGAGAUCAGAACUGUGUUUCUGAUUAGGCAGCUAAUCAACACCCAGGCACUUCUUUCCUGGAUUUACCUACUAUAAAAGGUCAUUAAUUAGAUACACAGUUAUUAGUUUAGCCUUCAUGUAGAACUUAGAGAAAUAUAAAUGAUUUUCAUGUGCAUCACUGGUUGAUUAGUCACCUGUAGUUUUCAACACCAGAAGUUUCACGGUGUCUGCACCAUAUGCCUUUAAAUUAUAUUUCACCCCAAAUCUCAUUGAAUUUGAAAGACUGAAACAACAAUUCCCAGGUGGAUACCCUGUGUCCUCAUUCCUGCACUUGAGAACUUUGGGGUUAGUUGUCAGCCAGAGCAGAAGGUAUGAUGAUUGUGGCUGGAGAAACUGGUGAUCUCACCGGGCAGCAACACCCUGGGGAAAAGUUUAUAAGGAACUUUUAAACUUUUAUGAGGAACUCAUUUACAGCAGUAAAUGAGUUUAUCCCAAAAAUUUGCAGCUAAUGACAUAAUAUAUAAUUUGUUUUCCAUUUAUGUGAGAAAUGAUUUCAAAGUUCUUAAUGACAGGAAAAACACUGUCUGCAUUAGUGCUGCGUGUGAAAUGAGUGUCUCAUGACUGCACUCACAGCUCCAGUGGGCUCUCGUAUAUCAAUGUCAAUAUUUAACUCCAGGAACUAAAAUGCUGGCACGUGCUAUGCAAGUGGCCACAAUUGGCAAGACAGUGGAGAACACAUGCCAAUCCAAACUAAUCAGCCUGCACAGGGGAAUAAGUUGCUCAGGCUGAAGCCAUUUUCACCAGGUACGUCUUUGACACCAGCAGAUGGUAUUUCCAAGAGUGGCUCUCCCACUCCUAACUAAUUUAUUAUAAGACUGUAGUGGCAGAUCUGAAGCAGGGCUGAUGUACCACAAAGUGCUCUUCUGGCUCCUGGCAGUGGCCCUGCUCACUGCUGCUCCUGGUUUCUGCUUCCCCUCCUCCUUGUUGUGUACCCACAUCCACUCACCACGGAACGAGCUGGUCCCAAGGAAUGUAUAAAAGAAGCACCAUCCCAGAGAAAAGCUGUUCAGAUGAAGUAAAAUUCUAACUCUGCUUAGAAAUUCAGAAGCAUGUUCCACCCAGCCCAGUGCACUGCUACAUUUAUCAAAUAAAGCAUCUUCUAAUGAAAUUCCUGUUCACCGGGGAUAUGAAGUAUCUUACUGGGGAUGGGGGCAUUUUCUAGGGCAGAGUCACUAAGAUGUACUAGAUGAUUAUUUUUUUUAAAAUUGAUAUGAAUUUUAGUUGGAUACUUUGCCAAAGCAAUGUCACGUUCAUUUAACCAAUAGGCAAUAAAUGCUUCCUUCAUUUUCCAGUUCCAUCAAAACUAAACAAUUGCAGAGGUGGCUGCCUGCAGCCUGGACCUGUAUUUUCUUCUGCCCUAAUCUGAUAGAUUUAUCUGAAUGCUUGAAAAUAUUCAGCAAAUGAAAUGAAUAAGUACAGGUUUGAAAUAGCAGCAUUGAACAAGUCUCCUGAUUUUUCAUAUUUAUGCUGAAAAAUGAAAUGCAUCAAAACGUACCCGUGAGCCAACCUUUUAAAGGAGUGGGUAACUGCUCAGGCAGGCAGAGCUCACCUUCCACAGCAGCACAGCUUAGUUCACCAUCAGUUUUAAAUAAGUAGAACAUGAACAUAAGUAGUCCAGACACAUUCAGUUCUGUAGGUAUAGGCUAAUCCCAGCUUGAAAUGCUAAAAUAAUCAUCUGAAGAAAUUCAUUUUAAGUAAGAAUAAAAUAGAAAAAAAAUGUGAGGAGAGAAUAAUGCUCAUAAGCCAGAGAAAAGGGAAAAUCAAAUGAGAAAACCUGCCUGUUUCAAAGUUUGUGAAGAGCUAUUCAUAAGCAUGGCACUCACAUAAGCACUAACUAAUGACAUAUCCAAAUUAAACAUAUGGAUGAAGCAAGGCUUUAAGAUGCAGUCUGAAAUGCUCCAAACAUGAAUGGCCCUUUAAAGGACUUUGUAAGUAAAGAAGCAGCAAACCCAACAUCAUCUUAGGCACAAAAAAAAAAAUCUCCUCCAUUUAUGUUUAGUAUCACAUCUAAAACUAACAGCAAGCAAUUGAGUUGUUUGGACGUUAUAGAGUGGGGAAAUACCCAAGGACAGGGACAGUUCAAAGAAACAAACACCCCAUGGUGUACAGGGCCCACUGAGGACAGAAAAAAUACUUGGUCAUUUAUUCAGUUCUAGUUUUUAAGUCAUAGGCCACUCCAGAACAAUUCAAUAUUUAUGUGCCUUUAAGAGGUUGUUCAGCAAAGAAAUACAAAAUAUUAUAUCUCAUCAGUAACUGCAGAGUACUGUUGAGAAAAUGAAAACACAAAAGUGUUCAUUUGAAUUCACAACACUAAAUGGUCUAUCAAACCAAUCUCUUUAAAUGUCCAUUUCAUGCCUACAGAAUGACCAUCAGGAACAAUAUUGCAGCUCUUAGGAAGGAGCUGUAUUUGCUGGAAACAUUGUUCUCUUUUGCACUCCAAACACACAUCUUCUAAACUGUUGUAUUUUUUUUCAUGUCUGUACUUCUGGAACGUGUUUGGAUGGUUUAAAAUGUGUAUAAAAUGCCAUUUCCCACCUAAUUGACUCAAUAAAAUGUAAUGUCAUUAAGCACA